AUUGAACGCUGGCGGCAGGCCUAACACAUGCAAGUCGAGCGCGUCGGACGGGUGCGUAAUGGCAAGGAAUCGGCCUGGUAGUGGGGGAUGACUACUGGAAACGGUAGCGAAUACAGCAUACCCUCAGAUGCACCCAGAUGGGAUUAGCUAGGAGGUGAGGGAACGGCAAACCUAGGCGAAGAUCCCUAGCUGGUCUGAGAGGAUGAUCAGCCACACUGGGACUGAGACACGGCCCAGACUCCUACGGGAGGCAGCAGUGGUGAAUAUUGCACAAUGGGCGCAAGCCUGAUGCAGCCAUGCCGCGUGUAUGAAGAAGGCCUUCGGGUUGUAAAGUACUUUCAGUCGGGAGGCGUUACCGACAGAAGAAGCACCGGCUAACUCCGUGCCAGCAGCCGCGGUAAUAC
rnacentral:rRNA from 1 species